rnacentral:rRNA from 1 species
AUUGAACACUGGUGGCAGGCCUAACACAUGCAAGUCGAGCGGCAUCGAGUGAGCGCAGUUUACUGAGUUCAUGUCGGCGAGCGGCGGACGGGUGAGUAAAGUCUGGGAAUCUGGCCGAAGGAGGGGGAUAACUGCUGGAAACGGCAGCUAAUACCGCAUGAAGUCGCGAGACCAAAGUGGGGGACCUUCGGGCCUCACGCCUUCGGAUGAGCCCAGAUGAGAUUAGCUGGUAGGUAAGGUAAAGGCUUACCUAGGCGACGAUUCUCUAGCGGGUCUGAGAGGAUAGCCCGCCCCCCACUGGAACUGAGACACGGUCCAAACUCCUACGGGAGGCCACC